AUUGAACGCUGGCGGCAUGCCUUACACAUGCAAGUCGAACGGCAGCACGGGUGAUUGCACCUGGUGGCGAGUGGCGAACGGGUGAGUAAUAAAUCGGAACAUGUCCUGUAGUGGGGGAUAGCCCGGCGAAAGCCGGAUUAAUACCGCAUACGAUCUACGGAUGAAAGCGGGGGACCUUCGGGCCUCGCGCUAUAGGGUUGGCCGCUGGCUGAUUAGCUAGUUGGUGGGGUAAAGGCCUACCAAGGCGACGAUCAGUAGAUGGUCUGAGAGGACGACCAGCCACACUGGGACUGAGACACGGCCCAGGAUCCUACGGGAGGCAGCAGUGGGGAAUUUUGGACAAUGGGCGAAAGCCUGAUCCAGCAAUGCCGCGUGUGAGAAGAAGGCCUUCGGGUUGUAAAGCACUUUUGUCCGGAAAGAAAUCCUUGGCUCUAAUACAGUCGGGGGAUGGCGGUACCGGAAGAAUAAGCACCGGCUAACUACGUG
rnacentral:rRNA from 1 species